rnacentral:rRNA from 1 species
UACGGAAGGUGCAAGCGUUAGUCGGAAUUACUGGGCGUAAAGGGUGCGUAGGCGGUGAUAUAAGUCGGAUGUGAAAUUCCGAAGCUUAACUUCGGAGCUGCCUCCGAGACUGUAUCACUAGAGGAAUGGCGGAGAGAAUGGAAUUCCAUAUGUAGCGGUGAAAUGCGUAGAUAUAUGGAAGAACACCCGUGGCGAAAGCGGUUCUCUAGCCUCCUCCUGACGCUGAGGCACGAAAGCAAGGGGAG